AGGACGAACGCUGGCGGCGUGCUUAACACAUGCAAGUGGAGCGACGAACCAGGGCUUGCCCUGGGGCAGAGCCGCGAACGGGUGAGUAACACGUGGGUUACCUGCCUUGAUGACCGGGACAACCCGAGGAAACUCGGGCUAAUACCGGAUGUGCCCGCAAGGGGAAAGGAAGCUUCGGCCUCCGCAUCAAGAUGGGCCCGCGGCCCAUUAGCUAGUUGGUGAGGUAACGGCUCACCAAGGCUUCGAUGGGUAGCUGGUCUGAGAGGACGAUCAGCCACACUGGGACUGAGACACGGCCCAGACUCCUACGGGAGGCAGCAGUGGGGAAUCUUGCGCAAUGCGCGAAAGCGUGACGCAGCAACGCCGCGUGGGGGAAGAAGGCUUUCGGGUGUAAACCCCUUUCAGUUGGGACGAAGCUUCUCCGGUGAAUAGCCGGACGGAGUGACGGUACCUUCACAAGAAGCACCGGCUAACUACGUGCCAGCAGCCGCGGU
rnacentral:rRNA from 1 species